GUUUACGUAUUCAUCCUGUGUACCACCCAUGGGGUGGCCACUACACUUCAGAAAAUACUUGGGAACCAAAUAUCGAGAUGUGCCCACGCAGCUCCAGCUGACCACCUGCACCAUUAAUGAUACCACUGACUGGGACACAGGAAAUGGGACAUUCCAUUCUCCACGUACAGAUGAGGACAGAGAAGGGAGAUACCUGAGCCCAUGUGCCUCCAUUUGCG